UGAUGUAGGUCGACUCUCGACUCUCCCUUCUGACCUUCUCCCCCUGUGGCGUUGUGCAUCUGUUCCCAAUUUGCUUCCGCUUUCCAAAGGCCUUCCAACGUCCUGCAGUCCGCCAGUCCGGGAGCCACCUCCACCGCUCCACGCCUGAGCCACCUCCUCCGCCACCGAGCCACCUCCACAGCUCCAUUGCGAGUCUGCGACUUCCGCAGUUUCAAGGCUUCAAUCCAGAUCCCAGGUAUUGAAUUUUUGGCUGAUUGAUUGUCAUUGAUGAUGGGUUGAUAAUUGGGAAUGUUUUGGAUUUUUGGUUGAUUGAUUCAUUGAUUGUCAUUGCUGUAGUGGGCAGGGACGUAUUUUUGUUGAAUGUGUGAUAAUUGAAUAAAUUGAUUGUCAUUACUGAUGGGUAAUGGGUUGCUGAUGAAUGAUGAAUUGAUGAUGGGUUGAUAAUUGGGAAUGGAUCUCUGUAUCGGGUUGUUGCUGUUACAAUGAUUAAGAAAUUUGUUCACAAAAUAAGCUAG
rnacentral:lncRNA from 1 species